rnacentral:lncRNA from 1 species
UCAAAUUCCAGUCUUCAUUGAGUUUGUUAUAAUCCUUCUCGUUUUACAGAUGGGUAGACUGACUUCCAGAAAGUUUAAGCAACUUGAGUGUGAUCUCGAGCUUGCAGGUAGCCGUCUGGGAUUUGGAUAGACUUUAGAGUAAAAGCAUCAGAAGGACAGGAAGAGGCCAAUUAAUGUACUUCCUUAGACAGUUUGGCUGUGUAGCACUGAUAGAUUUUGUUCAUGUUAAACACAGUAACAAUUCCAUCACUGACUUUUUGUUUCAGUUGUAUACCAGGAAAAAAAUCAAAUGGCAUAGGCAGAAAUAUUUCCUUCUAAGAAACAGUGGGAGGCAUCUGAUUGAUUCGGACUAAGGGAUACUGACAACUCAACAGUAGCCAGCUGAAAUUGCCUUUCUGACUGAAGUGUUUAAGCCUGGCCUAGAGCACUGCAGUCAGUUUGCAUCUGCUGUAUGAAUCCUUUGCUAUGCUUCAGAAUCAAUGCAAGUCUUUGAGGUGAACUGGGGUUACAGCAGGCCUGCAAAAAUUCAGGACUCCCUGAGGCUGAUGGGAAUGGCUGUUGGAUGUGGUUCUGCUGUGGGAAAUCUUCAUCUGGAUAGAUAUUGGACCUUGAAUAGCCCAAUGUCAAUGUAUGCGGAGGCAACAUGUCCAUUAGCAUUAUUUAUAAAAUUCCAUGACUUCUGAUGUUGCCUCCACUGCUGAGCUUCUGAGAGUUUCAGAACCCCCUCUUGAAAUAUCAAAAAAUAGCUGCAAUAUCCUCUAGGGCCCAUGGGCAAUAGAAUUCUAGGUAAGGCCUCUUUAGCAGCUUCUCAUCAAAACUAAUAACAACCUUGUGCUCUGUAACCGUAAUGAUGCUUGUUCCUGGCACCCUACACUGUCCCUGUCUACCAUUUCCCAUGACUCCCACUUCUAGGACCAUGGCCUCUUCAGCUUCCUCUCACACCUGAGAUUGUUACUUGCUCCCACACUCUACCUUCCUUCAGAGUGGGUCGUCUGUACCACUGCCCUGCCUGGCACUCUCUCCACUGAUCCUAGGAUCACCAUUAUUUAUCUAUCCUUUCAACCUGCUUGGAAAAUGUUUCCCUUUAGCUCACUUCACAGGAUCUAUGAACUCUUAAUAAUGCAGUUGAUUUAAUUGUAUUAAUCAGUUUUUUCAAAUACGAUUGUUUCUGUAGAGUGGCUCUCACCUGUCAAAGAUACAUAAGCAGCUGAAGAGAGGAUAG